GGAAGCUGGAUGAAAUGAAAGUUUCACGUCCAGAUUUAACUGAGAGGUGCGGAUGAUAAUACCUCCCAUCGACUCAAC
rnacentral:ncRNA from 1 species